CGAAGGCCUGCAGGUAAGAAAGUCAUGCUGGAGUUUUUAUUUUGUCAUUAACAGUACUCUCUUUGCAGAUCGUACAACCCUAUCUACAGCAAUAUGAGGAUGGAAAUAUCAUGGUAGAUCAAACCUUGAAUCAAUUGGGCCAGUAUGCACACAAGAGCCCAAUAUCAAAUAGGUCUGAUAUCACCUAUAUGGUAACAAGCCGAAGUCUGGUGAAAAUUAGAGGAGGGAAACGCGUUGGUUCUACUUUAGGAAUGGCACACAAGGGGAAAGCCUGCAGGCCUGGCAGAGCUGGCGUAGGAUUGGACAGGCCUGUUACCUUCUCCGGUGUGCAAACGGCCGCUCAUGAAAUCGCACAUUUGUUGAACGCUCCUCACGACGGCGAUGAAGAAGCGAAGGAUUGCCCAUCAGAAGACGGAUAUUUGAUGAGUAGCCCACGAAGAAGCGGAAAUAACAGCUGUGCGUUUUCCAGCUGCACCAAGAAGAUUAUUGCCGACUU